rnacentral:rRNA from 1 species
GACGAACGCUGGCGGCGUGCCUAAUACAUGCAAGUAGAACGCUGAAGAGAGGAGCUUGCUCUUCUUGGAUGAGUUGCGAACGGGUGAGUAACGCGUAGGUAACCUGCCUUGUAGCGGGGGAUAACUAUUGGAAACGAUAGCUAAUACCGCAUAACAAUGGAUGACACAUGUCAUUUAUUUGAAAGGGGCAAUUGCUCCACUACAAGAUGGACCUGCGUUGUAUUAGCUAGUAGGUGAGGUAAUGGCUCACCUAGGCGACGAUACAUAGCCGACCUGAGAGGGUGAUCGGCCACACUGGGACUGAGACACGGCCCAGACUCCUACGGGAGGCAGCAGUAGGGAAUCUUCGGCAAUGGGGGCAACCCUGACCGAGCAACGCCGCGUGAGUGCAGAAGGUUUUCGGAUCGUAAAGCUCUGUUGUAAGUCAAGAACGGGUGUGAGAGUGGAAAGUUCACACUGUGACGGUAGCUUACCAGAAAGGGACGGCUAACUACGUG